AUGGGCCAUGACAAUGUGGCAGGCCAGUCAUCAGACCGUGGUGCCCCUAUAGUGGUGUCUUUGCAGUCAGAGAGCCAUACUCUAGAUGACACGGGAACCGAGGCAAAUGUUCCUGGUCCAACCAGGACUGAGCUAGGAGCUGGGGCUGUUGACGGAGCUGUGCAAGGAGAAGAAGGAGAUGAUGAGGCUGGUUCUCAACCUAUGGAACCCUAUGUUGGCAUGAGGUUUGACAGCCUUCAAAUUGCUAAGGAUCACUACAACAGCUACGCACUACGGAUGGGUUUCUCUAUCAAGACGAACACAUCUAGACGGACACCCCGCACCAAUAAAAUGAUAAAACAACAGUUUUGCUGUAACAAGUUCAAGAAUCCCAAAGCUGAUGAUGGUGGAGUUGAGGCUCCUCCUGUCCUGGACCCUAUUCCAGAUCCAAAAUCUGUUGAUAGUGAUGAGGAGAUGGAAGAAGAACCUCCAAUAUUUGCUGAAGAGGAGGCUGGUACUAGUAAGAAGAAGAAGAAGCGCAAACGCGAGACAAUAAAGAAGACUCAGUGCAAAGCGAAAAUGUUGGUGAAGCUGAUAGAUGGGUGA
rnacentral:rRNA from 1 species